AUGAAGAAGAUCUUCGGCGCGAAGAAGAGCAGGGACCCGCCGCCCACCAUCCAGGACGCCACCAACCAAAUAAACAAGCGGGGCGAGAGCGUGGACGAGAAGAUCAAGAAGCUGGACGAGGAGCUGACGCGGUACAAGGAGCAGAUCCGCAAGGCCCGGCCGGGCCCCUCGCAGGAGGCCAUCAAGGCCCGCGCCAUCAGGCUCCUCAAGCACAAGCGCAUGUACGAGGAGCAGCGCAACAUGCUCUACAACCAGACCUACAACCUCGACCAGGUGGGCUUCGCCGCCGACGGCCUCAAGGACGCGCAGCAGACCAUGGGCGCGAUGAAGGCCGCCAACAAGGAGCUCAAGGGGAUGAUGAAGACCGUCAAGAUCGAGGACAUCGAUAAUAUGCAAGAUGAAAUGACGGAUCUGAUGGACGUGAGCAACGAGAUACAAGAAUCUCUUGGUAGGAGCUACAACAUCCCGGACGAUGUUGACGAGGAAGAUCUAAUGGGAGAACUGGAUGCUCUGGAAGCUGAUAUGGAGUUUGAGUCAGCUGCAGUCCCGUCGUACCUUCAGCCAGAUGAGGAAUCUGAUCUUAACUUGCCCGCUGCACCGACUUAUCCUGCAGCAGUUCCCGUAAGCAGGCACCAGGAGGACGAGCUUGGACUGCCACCGGUACCUCGAGCUUCGCUCCGUAGUUAG
rnacentral:rRNA from 1 species